AUCUAAAUAGUUUAAUAGGAAAAUAUUGGUUUGUGGUGCCAGUGAUAUAGUUUUUGUAUUUUAGAUU
rnacentral:tRNA from 1 species